CCUACGGGAGGCAGCAGUGGGGAAUAUUGGGCAAUGGGCGCAAGCCUGACCCAGCAACGCCGCGUGAAGGAAGAAGGCUCUCGGGUUGUAAACUUCCUUUGUCAGGGAAGAGUAGAAGACGGUACCUGACGAAUAAGCUACGGCUAACUACGUGCCAGCAGCCGCGGUAAUACGUAGGUGGCAAGCGUUGUCCGGAUUUACUGGGUGUAAAGGGCGUGUAGCCGGGUUGACAAGUCAGAUGUGAAAUCCUGCGGCUUAACCGCAGAACUGCAUUUGAAACUGUUGGUCUUGAGUACUGGAUGGGAAGACGGAAUUCAUGGGGUAGCGGUGAAAUGCGUAGAUAUUAGGAGGAACACCAGUGGCGAAGGCGGUCUGCUGGACAGCAACUGACGGUGAGGCGCGAAAGCGUGGGGAGCAAACAGGAUUAGAUACCCCUGUAGUC
rnacentral:rRNA from 1 species